AAGUCGUAACAAGGUCUCCGUUGGUGAACCAGCGGAGGGAUCAUUAACGAGUUCCGUACUCCAAACCCUUUGUGAACAUACCUGUUUCCGUUGCUUCGGCAGGCCUCGCCGGUCCCCCAGCGGGCGGGCGGGCCUGCCGGAGGGGCACACAGACUCUGUAUUCCGAAACGUACCUCUCUGAGUUAUCUUUACAAACAAGUAAAAA
rnacentral:misc_RNA from 1 species